GAACCUGGGAGCAGGGGAUUCGGAAUCGAAUCUCUUCUCUCAUGCUCUCCUGUUUUUUGUCACUGUAAGCAAUUUUAUCUUCAAACACAAUGGCUAGCAAUGUUACCAACAAGACAGAUCCUCGCUCCAUGAAUUCCCAUGUGUUCACUGGGAAUCUGAACACUCUGGUGGUGAAGAAAUCUGAUGUGAAGGUCAUCUUCUCGAAGUAUGGCAAAAUUGUGGGUUGCUCUGUUCAUAAGGGCUUUGCCUUUGUCCAGUAUGUUAAUGAAAGAAAUGCCCAGGCUGCUGUAGCUGGAGAGGAUGGCAGAAUGAUUGCUGGCCAGGUUUUAGAUAUUGAUCUGGCUGCAGAGCCAAAAGUGAACAGAGGAAAAGCAGGGGUGAAAUGUUUGGCAUUGGAGAUGUACGGCUCCUCUUUUGACUUAGACUAUGACUUUCAAUGUGAUUAUUAUGACAGGAUGUAUAGUUACCCAGCACGUGUUCCUCCUCCUCCUCCUCCUCCUAUUGCUUGGGCUGUAGUGCCCUCAAAACGCCAGCGUGUAUCAGGAAACACCUCCUGAAGAGGCAAAAGUGGCUUCAAUUCUAAGAGUGGUCAGCGGGGAUCUUCAUCCAAGUCUGGAAAGUUGAAAGAUGAUGAUCUUCAGGCCAUUAAGAAGGAGUUGACCCAGAUAAAACAAAAAGUGGAUCCUUUACUGGAAAGCCUCGAGAAAAUUGAAAAGGAACAGAGCAAACCAGCAGUGGAGAUGAAGAAUAAUAAGGCCAAAGAGGAGCAGACCACCACCUCCCAGAAGAAAGAUGAGACUAAUGUGAAGAUGCAAUCUGAGGGUGCUGCGGAUGAUUCUGCUGAGGAAGGGGAUCUACUGGAUGAUGAUGAAAAUGAAGAUCGGGCGGAGGACCAACUGGAGUUGAUCAAGGAUGAUGAAAAAGAGGCUGAGGAAGGAGAGGAUGACAGAGACAGCACCAAUGGCAAAGAUGACUCUUAA